UACGUAGGGUGCAAGCGUUGUCCGGAAUUAUUGGGCGUAAAGAGCUCGUAGGCGGCUCGUCACGUCGGCUGUGAAAACCCGGGGCUCAACCCCGGGCCUGCAGUCGAUACGGGCGAGCUAGAGUUCGGCAGGGGAGACUGGAAUUCCUGGUGUAGCGGUGAAAUGCGCAGAUAUCAGGAGGAACACCAAUGGCGAAGGCAGCUCGCUGGGACGGUACUGACGCUGAGGCGCGAAAGCGUGGGGAGCAAACAGG
rnacentral:rRNA from 1 species